rnacentral:rRNA from 1 species
AAUUGAAGAGUUUGAUCCUGGCUCAGCGUGAACGCUGGCGGCAUGGCUAAAACAUGCAAGUCGAGCGCGAAAGUCCCUUCGGGGGCAAGUAGAGCGGCGAAAGGACUAGUAAUGCGUUUCUAUGUACCCCAUGGUCGGGGAUAGCCCGGGGAAACCCGGAUUAAUACC